UACGAAGGGGGCUAGCGUUGUUCGGAAUUACUGGGCGUAAAGGGCGCGUAGGCGGCCAUUCAAGUUAGGUGUGAAAGCCCUGGGCUCAACCUAGGAAUUGCACUUGAUACUGUUUGGCUUGAGUUCGGGAGAGGUGAGUGGAAUUCCGCGUGUAGCAGUGAAAUGCGUAGAGAUGCGGAGGAACACCGAUGGCGAAGGCAGCCCCCUGGGCUAACACUGACGCUCAGGCACGAAAGCGUGGGGAGCAAACAGG
rnacentral:rRNA from 1 species